rnacentral:tRNA from 1 species
UCCCUGGUAGCUCAGAGGUAAAGAAUCUGCCUGCAGUGCAGGAGACCUAGGUUUGAUCCCUGGGUCGGGAA